rnacentral:rRNA from 1 species
CCCUUAGAUGUUCUGGGCCGCACGCGCGCUACACUGAUGCAUUCAACGAGUCUAAAACCUGCUCUGAUAGGGGUGGGUAAUCUUUUGAAUGUGCAUCGUGAUUGGGAUAGAUGAUUGCAAUUUUUCAUCUUCAACGAGGAAUGCCUAGUACACGCAAGUCAUCAGCUUGCAUUGAUUACGUCCCUGCCCUUUGUACACACCGCCCGUCGCUCCUACCGAUUGAAUGAUCCGAUGAAUAUCAUGGAUUGAGGAUGCAAGUAGGUUAGCCUAUCUUCAUCUUCGAGAAGUGAAGUAAAUCUUAUCAUUUAGAGGAAGGAGAAGUCGUAACA